rnacentral:rRNA from 1 species
CAGCAGCCACGGUAACACGGAGGAUCCAAGCGUUAUCCGGAAUCAUUGGGUUUAAAGGGUCUGUAGGCGGUUUAGUAAGUCAGUGGUGAAAGCCCAUCGCUCAACGGUGGAACGGCCAUUGAUACUGCUGAACUUGAAUUAUUAGGAAGUAACUAGAAUAUGUAGUGUAGCGGUGAAAUGCUUAGAGAUUACAUGGAAUACCAAUUGCGAAGGCAGGUUACUACUAAUUGAUUGACGCUGAUGGACGAAAGCGUGGGGAGCGAACAGGAUUAGAUACCCCAGUAGUCCCUGUCUCUUAUAC